UACGUAGGGGACAAGCGUUGUCCGGAAUCACUGGGCGUAAGGGGCGCGCAGGCGGUGAUUUAAGCAGGAUGUGAAAGGCUACGGCUCAACCGUAGACAUGCACCCUGAACUGGGUCACUUGAGUAUUGGAGAGGCAGGCAGAAUUCCUGGUGUAGCGGUGAAAUGCGUAGAUAUCAGGAGGAAUACCGGAGGCGAAGGCGGCCUGCUGGACAAAUACUGACGCUGAGGCGCGAAAGCGUGGGGAGCAAACAGG
rnacentral:rRNA from 1 species